GGAGAAGUGGGGAUGACGUCAAAUCAUCAUGCCCUUUAUGACCUGGGCUACACACGUGCUACAAUGGGCGGUACAAAGGGUCGCGAACCCGCGAGGGGGAGCCAAUCCCAAAAAGCCGCUCUCAGUUCGGAUUGCAGGCUGCAACUCGCCUGCAUGAAGCCGGAAUCGCUAGUAAUCGCGGAUCAGCAUGCCGCGGUGAAUACGUUCCCGGGCCUU
rnacentral:rRNA from 1 species